GUUAUAAAUUGUUAUUAAAUAGCUGUGUAUAUAAUAUGUGAAAUUGUGUUAAUAGUGGUAUAGGCUACUUGUAUACCUAUUAUAGAUAACAAGUGCUUUCUGUGAGUGAAAAAUUGGUUUAACAUCCGAUUUAAUGAAUUACUAAAUUAUUACUGUUACUUCGUGCUAAGGAAGUUCGAGUACUAAUUAUGUAUGUGCGCGUGAUUUCAUGUUAAUGGGAUAAUAAAGAGUAUUGUCGCCUUAUCAACAGGUAUCUACAUUCAUGUAUUUAUGUUUGAAUAUUCAAACAUAUUGUAUACCCUACACAAAUACAGAUAGUGAACAGGUGAAACUAAACUACAUCAAAUACCUCAAAGGGCAAGUUUCUCAUCCAAGUUUCUGUAUGCAUUACUCUUCUUAGACAAUUGACAAUUUGUUUACCACAUAGAGAAAAAAUUACCUAAUUUCAAAUUUAUUUUCGAUUUACAAUAAAUUAUUAGGCCAGAUAAAUAUACAGUGUAUAUAUAACUAAUAUGCUUUGGCGAAAGAUACUGCCAAGGAGUGAUUUAAAAUUAAAAAAUAAAAUCAGUUAACAACUACCGGCACCAUCUGGUCAAAUACGACUCGGACUGAUCUAUAUAAACUAAUAUUAGUGUGAAGUAUGAUCUCGAUAUGUCAAUUCGUGUGUGUUCGCUGUUUGUUUACGAUGCGAAAGGUUUGUCUGCCGAUGGCUUACCAUGGAAAAAUUUGAACAACGAGUGUGCAUAAAAUUUUGUGUUUCCAAUAGAAUCACGGCUACGGAAUAGUUGAAAAUGUUCCGGAACUAUUUUGGAGAAACUACGUUAUCACGAAGACAAGUAUUUUGAUGACAUAAAGCAUUCAGUGAAGAUCGUGAAGUCAUCGAGGAGUCGUCCAUUCACCUCUGUUUAAAAAGGUAAAGAAACAGUGACAGAAACAAGAAAGGAUCGACUCAACACAUUGUGAUUAAUAUUUCGGGCUUGAAGAGGUCGUUAAAGAGAUACUUGCCAAUGUAGCAGGACCCUAUAUUCAUUAAGCAGGAGAGAGAUCGGGGACAAUUACUCCUGGGCCCGAAGUUCUCAGGGGGAUCAGGUGCUCUUCAAUUUUUCUUUACAGAUACUUUUCUCCAAGAAUUCACUACAAUCGGUACCAUAAGGAAUUACCAUCAUUUCAUAACAAAAAUUGCAUGGAAUCAAAUUAUGCUCCUGCAGACUUCUCAGCGGUCAACAUCAAUCGAAAAAAUAUGUUUACAGUUCUGCAUCAAUAUUUCUUCUCGAUGCUUUACCCGAUCAUAAUCAAGUUAUCAUAUACAGGUAAAGAAAUAAAAAAAAAAUGGAUCCACUGCCUCAAGCAUUGUCAUCAACGCACUCUCAUUCUUGAAUAGCUUAAUUUCGUCGUUGCAAUUUUCCAGCUAUGCAUUUACAUGCGCUCUCUUACCUAAUGCGCUAUAAAACCAAAAUUGGCGAAAUGAAAUAAAUAAGAGAAAAAUAAAAUUGCACCAAAAUUGAGCUAACGGCGUAUAUUACAAAAAAAAAAUUUAUAAUAAUAGCAAAAAUUGUCAACCAAACUAGCGAUAGAGCAAUGUCAAUCUGUGCCUUAGCAGAAGAAGCAGAAGCAACGCGGCGGUGUGCAACAGCCGAAAUACGUUGAUAUUUCAAGGACGAAUUUGUAAAAGUCACAUGCAAAAUUUGAUUUGGAAAUCUGCAAACAACUAACAACCAAAAGGAGAAAUGUCAUGCACGGGCAGUAGUUGAGUCGUUGUCGGUGUGGGGGAGUUGCGGCAAAAGUUAAGGUUAUGGCCAUGAAGUUUACGUUCGCCUGGUAGGAUUAUAUGUACAUACAUAUACAUAUAUAUCCAUAUAUAUGUGUUUAUGGGUGCGCCGUUGAAGGUUGAUACGUGCACGCCGCUGUUUGCAGAUUUCGAAAAAAUCAGUUCGGCGCGUCGCUUCACUUCACAUUAAAAGCUGCAUACAAAGUAAUUGGAAGCAUGUUGAAUAUGUGGCUUAGACUCGUUGCUAGUGAGGUAGGCACAGUGUCAAAAACGCACAGAUCACUUGUUAUUCUAUAUUUUUUUUUUGAAAAUUAUUUUAUUUCAUAUUAAGUUAGUAGAUUAAUACAAUAGAUCACAAGGUUCUCAUAACAUAGUGAAUUCAUAAAUGCGCCCAAAAGAGGGCUAAACGUAAAGUUUUUCCCUGGUAACAUAUUUUAGCUAAAAAUAUUACACUGAAACUCGGAUUUGUAGUAUGGUUUAACUAAGAAAUUAAGUCUACUUUAUUAAGAACACAAGUAUUUUGAUGGUAUCAAGCAUUCAGUGAAGAUUGUGAAGUCAUCGAAAACUUGUCUCAAGAGAGUCGUCCUUUCACCAAAAAGGUAAAGAAACAGUGCUUGAAAAUCGUCGUAUUGGCGUCAAAGAGAUAGCUGAGGAUCUUCAAAUCUCUUAUGGAUCGGCUCAACACGUUGUGGUUAAUAUUUCGGGUUUAAAGAGGUCGUUAAAGAGAGAUAGAUGAAAUCAACCUGCAAAUAAAUCGCGUUCACUCGGAUGCUCUUUCUAUACCAGAAAAGAUCAUUUGAGGUCGUUUGACUUUUAACUUUUGUGGUGAUUUAUAAUAACAAUAUAAAUGAGCAAAAUCA